rnacentral:rRNA from 1 species
GAUGAACGCUGGCGGCGUGCCUAAUACAUGCAAGUCGAGCGAACGGACGAGAAGCUUGCUUCUCUGAUGUUAGCGGCGGACGGGUGAGUAACACGUGGAUAACCCACCUAUAAGACUGGGAUAACUUCGGGAAACCGGAGCUAAUACCGGAUGAUAUUUUGAACCGCAUGGUUCAAAAGAGAAAGACGGUCUUGCUGUAACUUAUAGAUGGAUCCGCGCUGCAUUAGCUAGUAGGUCAGGUAACGGCUUACGAAGGCAACGAUGCAUAGCCGAACUGAGAGGGUGAUCGGCCACACUGGAGCUUGGCCACGGUCCAGGCUCCUACGGGAGGCCGCAGUAGGGAAUCUUCCGCAACGGGCGAAAGCCUGACGGAGCAACGCCGCGUGAGUGAUGAAGAUCUUCGGAUCGUAAAACUCUGUUAUUAGGGAAGAACAUAUGUGUAAGUAACUGUGCACAUCUUGACGGUACCUAAUCAGAAAGCCCCGGCUAACUACGUG